AGCUCCAAUAGCGUAUAUUAAAGUUGUUGCAGUUAAAACGCUCGUAGUUGAAAUCCUGCUAGUGGUGAUAGAUCAUCUCUUUGAGCAUGUAUUUAGUACUAUUAGCAUAAAUUCGAUAACAUCCAAUGGGUAAUACCAUCGUGCUAUCGAAGUUGUUACUUUGAGAAAAUUAGAGUGUUUCAAGCAGACAGUAUGUCUUGAAUUCUCCAGCAUGGAAUGACUAAUGAGGACUAGGGUUCUUCUUGUUGGUUCGAGGGCUCCAGUAAUGAUUAAAAGGAGCAGUCGGGGGCAUUCGUACUCGGUCGUCAGAGGUGAAAUUCUUAGAUUGACUGAAGACGAACUAUUGCGAAGGCAUCUGCCAUGGAUGUUUCCA
rnacentral:rRNA from 1 species